rnacentral:tRNA from 1 species
UCCCAUGUGGUGGUCUAGUGGUUAGGAUCUGGCGUUUUCACCUACAUGGCCCGGGUUCGAUUCCCGACAUGGGAA